AAGCCAUGGACAGCUGGCUGCCCUAUUUCCUCAGGAAACCUCUCCGUAAGUGCCUGGUGGCUGAGCUGCCCUUGAAGGAGGGAGGAUUUCCCUUCUGAACCUCUCUUCUAUACCUCUUGCUAUGAAGAACAUUCCGUGCCAAAGAUGUGUUUUUAAGUAGCAAUGGUUUCAUUAAGGGACAUUCAGCAUGUUAUGGGAUUCCUGGGAAGGCCAAAGACCAGGCUGAGACCACUCAGCCAGGAACAAUGGUACUGUUCUUUAAAAGAUUUUAAAAAGAAUGGAGGAGUGGAGGAGGUGGUUCCCCCUCGCAGGUCUGCUAGGAGGAGUUGCCAAGACUAUGUGUGCAAAGGCCCACCUCACUGUUCUACAACUCAUGACGGCCAGUAUCACCAAUUUAUCAUUGUCCUUCAGAACUGAAACACGAUUUUUGAACUGACUGACUCUACAAGGAACAAAAAUCGUAAGCAGAUGACAAAGAAAACUUAGUUGCAAAAUCAAAAAUUGAUAUUCUGGUUUUAAAUCA